GACGAACGCUGGCGGCGCGCUUAACACAUGCAAGUCGAACGGAAAGGCCUGCUUUCCCUUGUGGAUUGCGGGUACUCGAGUGGCGAACGGGUGAGUAACACGUGAGUGAUCUGCCCCCAACUUGGGUAUAAGCCUGGGAAACUGGGUCUAAUUCCCGAUAGGACUGCAGGGUGGUGCCUGUGGUGGAAAACGAUUUUCGAGUGGUUGGGGAUGAGCUCGCGGCCUAUCAGCUUGUUGGUGGGGUAAUGGCCUACCAAGGCGGCGACGGGUAGCCGGCCUGAGAGGGUGGACGGCCACAUUGGGACUGAGCUACGGCCCAGACUCCUACGGGAGGCAGCAGUGGGGAAUAUUGCACAAUGGGCGGAAGCCUGAUGCAGCGACGCCGCGUGGGGGAUGACGGCCUUCGGGUUGUAAACUCCUUUCGACCGCGAGGAAGCCACCUGGUUGGAAGGGUGGUGACGGUAGUGGUAGAAGAAGCACCGGCUAACUACGUG
rnacentral:rRNA from 1 species